rnacentral:tRNA from 1 species
GUGGACGAGUGGAUAAGUCACGUGACUGCAGAUCACAAGGUACAGGGUUCAAGUCCCAGC